ACCUUUCCUUCGGGACAGGGGAGACAGGUGGUGCAUGGUUGUCGUCAGCUCGUGUCGUGAGAUGUUGGGUUAAGUCCCGCAACGAGCGCAACCCUUAUCCUUAGUAGCCAGCAUUACGGAUGGGCACUCUAGGGAGACUGCCAGGGACAACCUGGAGGAAGGUGGGGAUGACGUCAAAUCAUCAUGCCCCUUAUGACCAGGGCUACACACGUGCUACAAUGGCGUAAACAAAGGGAAGCGAAGGAGUGAUCCGGAGCAAAUCUCAAAAAUAACGUCUCAGUUCGGAUUGUAGUCUGCAACUCGACUACAUGAAGCUGGAAUCGCUAGUAAUCGCGAAUCAGCAUGUCGCGGUGAAUACGUUCCCGGGUCUUGUAC
rnacentral:rRNA from 1 species